rnacentral:rRNA from 1 species
CCUACGGGAGACAGCAGUGGGGAAUAUUGCGCAAUGGGGGAAAGCCUGAUGCAGCGACGCCGCGUGGGGGAAGGAGGUUUUCGGAAUGUAAAGCCCUAUCAGCAGGGAAGAACGAUGACGGUGCCUGUCUGCACUGCACCGGCUAAAUCAGCGCCAGCAGCAGCGGCAAUACGUGUGGUGGAAGCGUUAUCCGGAUUUACUGGGGGUAAAGGGCGCGGAGGCGGUGGGUUAAGCCUGGUGUGAAGCCCCGGGGCCCAACCGGGGGACUGCAUUGGGAACUGGCGAGCUGGAGUGCCGGAGGGGUAGGCGGAAUUCCUAGUGUAGCGGUGAAAUGCGUAGAUAUUAGGAGGAACACCAGUGGCGAAGGCGGCCUACUGGAAGGUGACUGACGCUGAGGCGCGAAAGCGUGGGGAGCAAACAGGAUUAGAUACCCCGGUAGUC